AAUUUAAGAUUUAAUUUAAAAUAAAAUUUUUAGUGAAAAAAAUUAUAUUAUAAAAUAAGUAAAAUAAUAUUAAUUAAAUUUAUUUUAGUAAUAAUAAAUAGAAAAAAUAUUUAAAUUGAUAAAUUAAUAGUAAUGUAAAAGAAAAUUGUUAAAUAAAAUUUUUAAAAUUAUUUUAAAGAAAAAUAAUUUUUGUAUUUUGUGUAUCAAAGAUUAUUUAAAAAAAAUUUAUAAAAUAAAUUUUUUAGAAAAUUAAAGAGUUAAUAAAAUUAUUAUUUUAGUUAUUGUAAAAUAAAUAUUAAAAAUAAUUUGUUGGAAAUGAAAUUUUAAACAAUUUAAUUAUUAUCUAAUUUUUAAAGAAAUAAAUUUAAUUUAGCUGUUAAAAAAUUUUUGUAAAUUUAAAAAGAUUAAUUUUAUCAAAAUUAUAAAUUAAUAAGUAAUAUUAAAUGGGAUAAGCUAUUUAAUAAAUUUAUAAAUAAAAAAAAAAAUUAAAAUUUAUAAAAAUAAAAUUAUUUAUUAAAUUUAUUUUAUUAUAAAAAAUUUUAAAUAAAAAAAUUUUAAAAAAUUUUAAUAUAUGAAAUUAUUAAAAAUUUAUUUAAAUAUAAAUUUAAAUUAGUUAAAUUAGUUAUUUAUAAUAAUAUUAGUAUAUUUUUGAAAUAAUAAAAAUAAUUAAAGUUUAAAAAAUUAAAUUUUAGAAUUCGGCAAAAAUUUAUAUUCGCUUGUUUAACAAAAACAUGUCUUUUUGAUUUUUAAUUUAAAGUCUAAUCUGCCCCCUGAAUUAAUUUUUAAAGGGCUGCAGUAUUUUAACUGUACAAAGGUAGCAUAAUAAAUAGGUUUUUAAUUGAAAUCUAGAAUGAAUGAUUGGACGAAAUAUAAUCUUUUUUAAUUUAAAAAUUUAUAAAACUUUAUUUUUUAGUAAAAAAGCUAAAAUGUAAUUAAAAGACGAGAAGACCCUAUAAAUCUUUAUAAUUAAUAUUUAGUUAAAAAAUUAUAUUAAAAAUUUAUUAAAUAAGUAAAUUAUUUUAUUGGGGUGAUAAAAAAAUUAAAUAACUUUUUUAAUUGAAAAAUUUAAAUAAAAAAUUUAAUUUAAUUGAAUUAUUUUUAAGGUUAAAUAAUAUAAAGAAAAGAUACUUUAGGGAUAACAGCGUAAUUUUAAUUUUAAGUUCUUAUUAAAAUUAAAGAUUGCGACCUCGAUGUUGGAUUAAAAUUAAUUUUAAAUGCAAAAAUUUAAAGUAUUGAGUCUGUUCGACUUUUAAAAUUUUACAUGAUCUGAGUUCAAACCGGUGUAAGCCAGGUUGGUUUCUAUCUUUAAUUUAAAUAAAUUUUUUAGUACGAAAGGAAUAUAAAUUUAAAAUAAUUUUUUUAAAAAUGAAUAAAAUUAAUAAUUUUUUUAAA
rnacentral:rRNA from 1 species